AUUGAACGCUGGCGGCAGGCCUAACACAUGCAAGUCGAGCGAGCGGCGGACGGGUGUGUAAUGUAUGGGGACUGCCCGAUAGAGGGGGAUAACUACUGGAAACGGUAGCUAAUACCGCAUACUAUCGGAUAACCCAUAUGGGAUUAGGUAGUAGGUGAGGUAAUGGCUCACCUAGGCGACGAGCCCUAGCUGGUCUGAGAGGAUGAUCAGCCAUAAUGGGACGGAGAGACGGCCCAGAGUCCUACGGAGGGAUCAGUGGGGGAUAUUGCACAAUGGGCGAAAGCCUGAUGCAGCGACGCCGAGUGGGGGAUGAAGGCUUUCGGGUUGUAAACCUCUGACGCUAUCGAACGGUUAGGUGGAGAAGAAGCGCCGGCUAACUACGUGCCAGCAGCCGCGGUAAUUC
rnacentral:rRNA from 1 species